rnacentral:rRNA from 1 species
UACGUAGGGCGCAAGCGUUGUCCGGAAUUAUUGGGCGUAAAGAGCUUGUAGGCGGUUUGUCGCGUCUGCUGUGAAAUCUCAAGGCUCAACCUUGAGCUUGCAGUGGGUACGGGCAGACUAGAGUGUGGUAGGGGAGACUGGAAUUCCUGGUGUAGCGGUGGAAUGCGCAGAUAUCAGGAGGAACACCGAUGGCGAAGGCAGAUCUCUGGGCCGUAACUGACGCGUGAGGAGCGA